UGGGGAAUUGUUCACAAUGGGCGCAAGCCUGAUGACGCAACGCCGCGUGGGGGAUGAAGGUCUUCGGAUCGUAAACCCCUGUCGAAUGGGACGAAAGACUCGCGAGUGAAUACUUCGCGAGAGUGACGGUACCGUUAAAGGAAGCCACGGCUAACUCUGUGCCAGCAGCCGCGGUAAUACAGAGGUGGCAAGCGUUGUUCGGAAUUACUGGGCGUAAAGGGCGCGUAGGCGGCCCUCUAAGUCAGACGUGAAAUCCCCCGGCUUAACCUGGGAACUGCGUCUGAUACUGGAGGGCUUGAGUAUGGGAGAGGGAUGUAGAAUUCCAGGUGUAGCGGUGAAAUGCGUAGAUAUCUGGAGGAAUACCGGUGGCGAAGGCGGCAUCCUGGACCAUUACUGACGCUGAGGCGCGAAAGCUAGGGGAGCAAACGGGAUUAGAUACCCAAGUAGUCCCUG
rnacentral:rRNA from 1 species